rnacentral:miRNA from 1 species
UUUGAGACUGUUCCCGAGGAGCA